GACGAACGCUGGCGGCGUGCUUAACACAUGCAAGUCGAACGGAAAGGCCCUGCUUUUGUGGGGUGCUCGAGUGGCGAACGGGUGAGUAACACGUGAGUAACCUGCCCUUGACUUUGGGAUAACUUCAGGAAACUGGGGCUAAUACCGGAUAGGAGCUCCUGCUGCAUGGUGGGGGUUGGAAAGUUUCGGCGGUUGGGGAUGGACUCGCGGCUUAUCAGCUUGUUGGUGGGGUAGUGGCUUACCAAGGCUUUGACGGGUAGCCGGCCUGAGAGGGUGACCGGCCACAUUGGGACUGAGAUACGGCCCAGACUCCUACGGGAGGCAGCAGUGGGGAAUAUUGCACAAUGGGCGGAAGCCUGAGGCAGCAACGCCGCGUGCGGGAGGACGGCCUUCGGGUUGUAAACCGCUUUCGCCUGUGACGAAGCGUGAGUGACGGUAAUGGGUAAAGAAGCACCGGCUAACUACGU
rnacentral:rRNA from 1 species